rnacentral:rRNA from 1 species
CCUACGGGAGGCAGCAGUGAGGAAUAUUGGUCAAUGGGCGCGAGCCUGAACCAGCCAAGUCGCGUGAAGGAUGACUGCCCUACGGGUUGUAAACUUCUUUUAUAAAGGAAUAAAGUGAGACACGCGUGCCUUUUUGUAUGUAUUUUAUGAAUAAGGAUCGGCUAACUCCGUGCCAGCAGCCGCGGUAAUACGGAGGAUCCGAGCGUUAUCAGGAUUUAUUGGGUUUAAAGGGAGCGUAGGUGGGUGGUUAAGUCAGUGGUGAAAGUCCGAGGCUCAACCGUCGAAUUGCAUUUGAGACUGGCAGCCUUGAGUGUAGUUGAGGUAGGCGGAAUGUGUGGUGUAGCGGUGAAAUGCUUAGAGAUCACGAAGAACACCGAUUGCGAAGGCAGCCUACUAAGCUACCACUGACGUUGAUGCACGAAAGUGUGGGUAUCAAACAGGAUUAGAUACCCCAGUAGUC